AAGAAAUGUCAGUUCCAAGUGGAGAGAAAGACACUGGAUACAUGGAAGCUGCUUGGAAGGUUGGUUAAAUGGUGAACAGGACCACAUGGCUUGAAGCUACAAAUAA